GGCGCUCCACGUCCGCGGACAGAGCAUCCCUGCGGGGAGAUUUGGUCACUGUGAAGGAGAAGGAGUGAGGGCCAGGCCACGGUGGGGAGACCGUGGUGUGUGAACCAGAGGGAGGCCAGAGAGAGCCCUCGGAGGCUGGGGUUGGCCGGGCAGAGGCCCCUGUUUACAACCCCCUCUCCUUGUACAGUCGUGUGCCGGCGCCUCGCUCUGUAGGAGGUCCCAGUCCCUCACGUGUUCUGGGGAGAGUGCCCGGUGGGGCUCCUGCCGUGACUGUCCCCUGAGGUUCCAUUCUGACUAUCAUCACUCCUCCCCGCUGUCUGGGGGAUCACGCCUUCCAGAAAACUCGAGGGGACCCGCCGCCCCCAAGCACAUUCAGUAUUACAAAUACAACCCACCGCCUGUGGUGCACCCGUGGCGCCCGCCCCAGUCACACCACUGUGUCCCAACUGCCUCCCGCCUGCCGAUCGCUGCGGCCACCACGUGUAAGGAGCUGGACCAGGCUGCCCUCACACCACGCCCCCGUCCCCCGGUCACACCAUCAGCCGCCUCGUGGAUCGCAGCACCUCACGUUCUUCCAACCCCCUUUGAGGCCACCUUUCAAAGGGGUCACCACAAGGCACUGGAGGCUGCCCCUGCUCCUGUCAACCGUCUUGAGGGUCCAACACCAGAGGAGGCAUUGAUGUCAAUGAAAGAGCUUGUGAUUCAACACCCCUGAAGGUCCUGACCGUCUUUUAAAAUUUUGAUUAUUUCAUAAUUUAUUCUGUUAUGGCCCCUCGCUCCUUGGUGUGUCCCCACGUGUCUUACUGAAAAUAAAUGUGGCGGUGAACUUGGGGGCCCUUGGGAUCCUCCCCUCCAACAGCCCCACGUGGGAGCUGGGGCAUUCAGGCUGGCAGUCCUGGACGUGGCCGGGUCCCCAAGGCCAGGUCUCAGUUGUGUCCAAAACCUGUGCCCGGGGGGAGGCCAGGGCCCAUUGGUCCUCUGAUGGCCUAGCAAAGGCACUGUCCUCCACAAUGUCCAUGAUCAUGGAGAAACGCAAGCACAGAGCUCAACCUGUAAACACCUACCUAAGGUCCACUUGUGUGUGUCAGAAUGACCAUCUGCCAACUUGGCGGCGAGGGAGUCAUGCGGAGCAUGGAGUCAGGUGCCUGGUGCACAGUAGGUGCUUGGCAAAUGGUAGCUCUUACUCUCAUUGUUGUCACUGUCAUUACUGUGACUCCCAUGAGCCCUCGGACAGAGCGGUUAUAAGCCAUGUGCUUUUGAAUUCAGACACUCACCCACCCCACCCCCAUACCCCCCACUGCUAUGACCAUCUUCCUUUGAUCUAUUUUGGCCAGAGGUAGAAAAUAUCCUUCAAGAGUGUAUAAACAGCAAACACAGAAGCAAAACAGUGAUCACUGGUAUUUCUUUACUUAUGUGGGCAGAUUCACCAGCUGGUGGGUCUCAUAAGCUUGUUUGCAGGCGCUGCCUCCUGAGUGCUCCCCUAGGACCACCUUUCCAAGCCCACCUUUGUGCUGUGUCCCCAGGGCACCAGCUUCCAUCCCUCACAGCAGGGCCACCAAGGGCAUGAGGGGUCGUGAUCAUGGUGGCACCCCAGCCGGGUCUUGAGCCCCGCACCUCGGUUUCCCCCAUGGCAGUAGUGGCUCUCUUUUAGAGUUACAGUGGAAAUUAGAGACAUUCUGUUUCAUCCUCAGAGUGUCUCCAAGGGGGUGCUAUACACCCAAGUUCCCGGCAGACACUCCCUGCAACCCUUGCUCAUUCCAGGAGACCUGGACACAAAACCUGGCAUCUGGCAGACACCGGGCAACUGCUUGAUGAGGAAAUGAGUUCCCUGAAGCCUUUCCCAUGUUGCAGGGUCUGCUGACGCCCUCCUCUCUUCAUCACAUGCUUCUGAAUCCCCUUGCUUUUCACACUGAUCUCCUCUUUCAGAGCAGAACUGCUGCUCAGGCUUCCCUGCACUCAACAUUGUCCCAAGGAAGCAGCUCCUGCCAAGGUGCCGGCAUCCAUGCUGACACUGAGGCACAGGGUCUGUGGACACCGGCAGGUCUAGAACAGCAGGUCCCUCUGUGCCCUUAGCUAUCCCGGGCAAGAUCCCGGCUGCCUCCUGUCCUUCCUCCUGGCUGUAGUCGGGGCCUGGGUGGUCUCCCUGGCCAGGAUGUCGGUGCCAUCCAGCUGAGGUUCCUGAGGCUUCACCUACCCUAGAGCUCCCCAGAAGGGUCAGAGGCAGGUGAACUGCAGCCCUGAGAGGAAGCAGGCUGAAGGCAUCCUGACAUCUCCGGGGACAACCCGCAGGCCUGAUAGACGUGAAGGCACUUUCGGAUGGAUUCAAACCCAGAGCAAUAACCCCCUUAUCCUGCCUCCCAACCAAGGCACACUCUGUCUUGUGACCACCAUCACGUGCCACCCACCCCCCCAAGCAGGUCACACCCAGAAAUGGGAUAGAGAGCAGGAUUGUGCCACCCAAGCUGGCUAGUCCAAGGGCAGCCUACCCAAACUAGUUCACCUAGGCUGGGCACUUAGUCCAGGGACAGUCUACCAUACAGACCUUAGAAUGCAAGUACACUUAGAAAAAGUUUCCCAGGUGACAUUAGGUAAAGAAGCCAGGCAGGUAAAGAACCUGCCUGCCAGUGCAGGAGACAUAAGAGACAUGAGUUCAAUCCCUGGGUUGGGAAGAUCCCCUGGAGGAGGACCUGGCAACCCAGUCCAGUAUUCUUGCUGGAGAAAUCCCAUGGACAGCCUGGAAGGCUAUAGUCCAUAGGGUCGCAUAGAGUCGGACACGACUGAAGCAACUCAGCACACACACUUGGAAAAUCUGGUCUUGGCCAGUUCCCCAUUGGUUUGGUUGACAGAACCAAAAAUUCAGACCCAGAUUAAACUUUUGAAGGAGUUCAGUUCAGUCACUCAGUCGUGUCUGACUCUUUGUGACGCCAUGGACUGCAGCACGCCAAGCUUCCCUGUCUAUCACCAACUCCCGGAAAUUCUGUAGCAAAACAAACUUUGCUUUUUUUUUGCCCUGUCUUGCCUUAGUUGCCCUGACUGGGCAUGGUCUCUGGGUCUGGAACUCUUCCUGAUUUGGGCUCACAGGGCAGAUACCAUGUCAGCAGCCCCACAGCCAAAGCAUCAGGGCUGUCUUAGAAGUGACCACCCACCCGUCGAGGCAGACACAUAGGCGCCAGGCACUGGGCAGCUGACUAACAUAGACUUUGCCUGUAUGGGAAGAGUCAAGCUUGUAGAUUGGCAUGGGUAAAUGCCCAGCAGCAGCCAGAGGGCCUGAGCAGAGCAGCAGGAGCUGCCUGGUCAGAGGAGAGGGCUUCUGCUUUUCCAGGAAGGGAUGCUCUGUCCUGCUGGGAAGGGGUUGCUAUGCCCCAGGAAUUUAGCAAAGCUGAGCCCACCAGGGCCAUCAGAGGCACUAUGCUCCAGGGCCACCCCUUCCAAGGGUACAGGCCAGCACCUGGGAGGGGCCUCUUCACACUCCACGUUGCUUCUCUGAGCAGUGAAUCACAUGGGGACGUGCUCUGGGGGCCUUCCCUAUAGCGAGGUUCCUGUUGUGUUCAAACUACCUCACCAACAGGGCGUGACCCAGGAGCCUGCCACCCAUCUGGCUCCUCGUUUGGUUGUAGAAGUUGAUCCUUUUCCUAAAACUCAACCCUCUUAUGAUGCUUCAAGUGCAUGGGCUUCAAAAGCCACCACUAGGAAGUUGUCCCAAAAGCCCAGAAAAGACUGCUGGUCUUUGAGUCUGCACGGGAGGUCUUCCAGCAAUGUCCAGGAGCUGAAAAGUCCCGGGGGGAAAGUAACAUGUCACCACCCCCCAAAAGGGCUGGCUGAGCUGAAUAUGUAGCAAGGACCGUGUGUGGCACACUCCAAUUGUGGCCAAAUGAAUCCCUGAGAACUCACCACGGGGCCCUCUGAAGAGAGGGCUGUGCUUAUGUAACCAUGGCAACGGCAGAUGCCAGCAGUCUACUCCUUAGUACCACCCACUGAUAAGGCAGCCCCCUGGGCAUAGCCCAGGGGCCAUAACGUAGCAAAGUAGCAAAUGUAGCAAUAAGGGGCCCGGGUCAUAAGGGACUGGGUCCACACGACCCGGCCUCGGCCCCCCCCCAAGUCCCUCGUGAGGGCUUAGAGCCAGCUGCUGUCAGCUGUCCGAGGAGGGAGGCCCUGCGCCCCGCCGAGCGUGCCCGGUCUAUAUUCUCUGCCCACUCACCGCAUGAUCACGGACACGUCGGCAUGGCCUUCUCAUAGUGCAUGCGGUUCUCAUUAGUUUAUUUUUCUGGAAUUUGGGGAUUGGACCCCAGAACCAAACAUGCUGGUACCGUCUACAAAUAAAUGACUUGAACCCACUAUAA